AUCUGCCUCUUACAGGGGGAUAGCCUUUGGAAACGAAGAAUAAUACCCCAUGGCAUAUGGAGAUUGCAUGAUUUUCAUAUUAAAGAUUUAUCGGUAAGAGAUGAGUAUGCGUCCUAUUAGCUAGUAGGUGUGGUAACGGCACACCUAGGCGACGAUAGGUAGGGGCCCUGAGAGGGGGAUCCCCCACACUGGUACUGAGACACGGACCAGACUCCUACGGGAGGCAGCAGUGAGGAAUAUUGGACAAUGGGCGGAAGUGAUCCAGCCAUGCCGCGUGCAGGAAGACUGCCCUAUGGUUGUAAACUGCUUUUGUACGGGAAGAAACCCCCGCUCGUGAGCGGCUGACGGUACCGUAAGAAUAAGCAUCGGCUAACUCCGUGCCAGCAGCCGCGGUAAUACGGAGGAUGCAAGCGUUAUCCGGAAUCAUUGGGUUUAAAGGGUCCGUAGUGGACCGGUAAGUCAGAGGUGAAAUCCUGCAGCUCAACUGUAGAACUGCCUUUGAUACUGUCGGUCUUGAAUCGUUGUGUAGUGGUUAGAAUAUGUGGUGUAGCGGUGAAAUGCAUAGAUAUCACAUAGAACACCGAUCGCGAAGCAGGUAACCAACCAUCGACUGACGCUCAUGGACGAAAGCGUGGGGAGCGAACAGGAUUAGAUACCCUGGUAGUCCACGCCGUAAACGAUGGUCACUAGCUGGCUGGAGGCAACUCUGGCUGGCCAAGCGAAAGUGAUAAGUGACCCACCUGGGGAGUACGCUCGCAAGAGUGAAACUCAAGGAAUUGACGGGGGCCCGCACAAGCGUGGAGCAUGUGGCUUAAUUCGAUGAUACGCGAGGAACCUUACCAGGGCUUAAAUGUAGUCUGACAGCUUUAGAGAUAGAGUUUUCUUCGGACAGAUUA
rnacentral:rRNA from 1 species